rnacentral:rRNA from 1 species
UACGUAGGGGGCUAGCGUUGUCCGGAAUCAUUGGGCGUAAAGCGCGCGUAGGCGGCCCGGUAAGUCCGCUGUAAAAGUCCAGGGCUCAACCCUGGAACGCCGGUGGAUACUGUCGGGCUAGAGUCCGGAAGAGGCGAGUGGAAUUCCUGGUGUAGCGGUGGAAUGCGCAGAUAUCAGGAGGAACACCGAUGGCGAAAGCGGCUCUCUGGUACGGAACUGACGCUGAGACGCGAAAGCGUGGGGAGCGAACAGG